rnacentral:rRNA from 1 species
AACGAACGCUGGCGGCAUGCCUACACAUGCAAGUCGAACGAGAUCUUCGGGUCUAGUGGCGCACGGGUGCGUAACGCGUGGGAAUCUGCCCUUUGGUUCGGAAUAACAGUUGGAAACGACUGCUAAUACCGGAUGAUGACGAAAGUCCAAAGAUUUAUCGCCUGAGGAUUAGCCCGCGUAGGAUUAGCUAGUUGGUGUGGUAAAGGCGUACCAAGGCGACGAUCCUUAGCUGGCCUGAGAGGAUGAUGAGUCACACUGGGACGGAGACUCGGCACAGAGUCCUAGGGGAGGGAGCAGUGGGGAAUAUUGGACAAUGGGCGAAGGCCUAAUCCAGCAAUGCCGCGUGAGUGAUGAAGGCCUUAGGGUUGUAAAGCUCUUUUACCCGGGAUGAUAAUGACAGUACCGGGAGAAUAAGCUCCGGCUAACUCCGUGCCAGCCGCCGCGGUAA